rnacentral:rRNA from 1 species
AGCGAACGCUGGCGGCAGGCCUAACACAUGCAAGUCGAGCGCCGUAGCAAUACGGAGCGGCAGACGGGUGAGUAACGCGUGGGAACGUGCCCUUCGGUUCGGAAUAACUCAGGGAAACUUGAGCUAAUACCAGAUACGUCCGAAAGGAGAAAGAUUUAUCGCCGAAGGAUCGGCCCGCGUAAGAUUAGCUAGUUGGUGAGGUAACGGCUCACCAAGGCUCUGAUCUUUAGCUGGUCUGAGAGGACGAUCAGCCACACUGGGACUGAGACACGGCCCAGACUCCUACGGGAGGCAGCA